AAUCCCGUGAACCAUCGAGUCUUUGAACGCAAGUUGCGCCCGAAGCCAUUAGGCCGAGGGCACGUCUGCCUGGGCGUCACGCAUCGCGUCACCCCCCAACCCCGCUCAAACGAGCGGACAACGGGGGUGGAGAAUGGCCUCCCGUGAGCCUCGCGGCAUGCGGCCGGCCC
rnacentral:rRNA from 1 species